CUGGGUUUAAAACGUCGCGAGACAGUUUUGUUGCUUUUUGAUGGAGGUGUUGGUACCUGAUGAGAAGGACCCUUUAGUACGAGAGGAACAGGGGUUCGUCGCCUCUAGUUUAUCAGUUGUCUGACAAGGCAUGCUGAGUAGCCACGCGGCAGUGGAUAAGAGCUGAAGGCAUCUAAGCUCGAAGCCACCUUAAAAAAGAGGUACCCAUAGGACGCUCGUAAAUGACGAGUUUGAUAGAAGCCGGAUGUAAGUACCGAGGUUCGCCGAGGUAUUCAGUCCUGGCUUACUAAAGUUCUUUGAACGUCGCUG
rnacentral:rRNA from 1 species